ACGAACGUUGGCGGCGUGGAUUAGGCAUGCAAGUCGAACGAAUCUCAGGGGGGUAACUCUCUGGGGGAAGUGGCGAAAGGGGCAGUAAUGCGUGGGUAACCUACCCCGGGGAUCGGGAUAGCCUUCCUAACGGAAGGGUAAUACCGGGCGAGCCAGCGAGGGCGCAUGUCCUUGCUGGGAAAUGAAUUUCGCCUCGGGAGGGGCUCACGUGCUAUUAGCUAGUUGGUGAGGUGACGGCUCACCAAGGCUGAGAUGGCUAGCAGGUGUGAGGGCACGACCUGCGCCACUGGCACUGUGACACUGGCCAGACUCCUACGGGAGGCUGCAGUCGAGGAUCUUCGGCAAUGGGCGCAAGCCUGACCGAGCGACGCCGCGUGCGCGAUGAAGGCCUUCGGGUUGUAAAGCGCUGUCGAGGGGGAGGAAAGCCGCAAGGCCUGACCUAUCCCUGGAGGAAGCACGGGCUAAGUUCGU
rnacentral:rRNA from 1 species